ACUCGGAAAUUCCGGAUUUCGGUAUUCUAUUUACAUCCGAGAGGAGGAGAAGAAGUGUUGCACGGUCAUAUUUUAUUUCAGAGUUAAUAUUCCAUAAUUGUAUGAUGAAUUGAACCUGAACAUUGAAAGUGGCACUUGCAAAACACAAAUUUUCAGUUUUGAUUGAUACUUUAUGAAAGAAUAUGUUGGCGGACAUGGCAAUACAGUUUCAUAUCGAAAACCACUCCAAUUGAAGUAUCUGUGGUUCAUGUACACUAUUGUUUGAUAAAUUGGUGGCAAAUAGCUGUGUGAGCUUCAUUUGGUCAGGUUGUUUCGACUGCAUGAUGCAUGAGACAUGGAUUCCUAAGGAUUGUUCAAGUGCAUUCAGUGUUAACGGAUGGAACACAGAUUAGCCUUGGCCACAAUGAGCAGAAGGAGUACAAUAUGGGUGACUGCAGGUACGUCCCCAGGGACACCGCUACGUCACUGUUGAAGGAAUCACAGUUGUGCUGGAAGGUCCUGCCUUCCUGCUUGCUGUGUCUGCCUUCUCAUCUUAUUUUAUGAUCGUUUAUGUGAAGAAGCAGCAGCAACUUGAUUUGUUUUCUUGCGUAGUAAUAUGUGAGCUGCAUUUGCAGACAUAUAUGGGUCAAGUCACUCUUUGUUAGUUAGAUGUUGUUAGUGUUUUUCUAUCAGACAUGGUUCUGCAAUGGGGUUGACUGCCUAAGGCUCACUCAGAUUUUGGACUUGCUUAAUAACUGCUUCCUUUCAUUAAGAUGUGAGGUCCUGAUCCCAAUGACAGAGCAUCAUCGCCCUCUGAACUAAUGUUCAUGCGAGUUCAUUGUUUGAUUUUGUUGAACCAUGCAAGUUCAAAAUUUGAUGAAGCCAUGCAACUGGUAGAUGCAUCAACAAAGCAUAUAUUUGCAGUGUUCCGAAGUACCGUGUUCCUUCUUUACUCAAUAAAAUUUAGUGUUGUAUUUGCCUGGUAUAAGAAAGAUAGCGCAAUGCCGACAGAUAGAGCUUUAUUUGCCGGGUAUUAAUUUACACACAGCAGGCUGAGGAGAACACAGAUGCACGGCCAGCUGCGCGGAUUAGCCGAUGGAACCAAUAACAGGGGAAAGGACGGAAAAUAGGAAGGAGAUGGUCAGAUUGGCAGCUAAUCAAUUGUUUUUAGGCAGCACUAGAGAAUUAAUGAAUGCAUGAUGUACAAUUUUCUCUGAUUUUCUAACAAAUGUGAAAUGUUGCUCAACUAAUAUUUCAGAUGUAAAUUAAUAUUCAGUCGCAGAAAUUGAUA